rnacentral:lncRNA from 1 species
CUGGGCUCGAAAAAGCCUGAGCUGAAAGCUUGGGUCAAGCGAAAUUUUUUGGCCUAGCAAAAGCUCGGCUCAACUCGACUCGGCUCGAUUUAGCUCAUAUACAUCCCUAAGCACAUCUACCCAUCCACUUUGUCUAGCAUCCUAACGAAUUAUGCUCAAUAAAAUGUUGGCUACUCAACAUUCAGAUCAAACAUUAUAUUAUGAAUAAACUCUUUUACCAAGAUAAAAUAAGAAUUAUCACAUCAUGAAAAAUGAUAAUUCUAGUAAAUGCUAUAAAAUAGUGUGAAAGCUAAUUGAUAAUAAUAGGUACGUCUUAAAAAUGUAUCAUGAUUUCUCCGGAAAGAAUCCUGGCCUAAAGCAAUUAAAUUCAUACAUAACAACGUGUUUGAAAAAAUGUGGAAAAACCACUAAUAGCAUAAGCAUCUCACCUCAAACUAUUAAAUAACAAUUCUUGAAUUGACUAAAAUGAAGGAUGAAAUUGAAACUCCUUUGAAAACCUUCUAAACUUUUUAAUAGGGAUAUCUAUUGAAAUUUUAAAGAAUGAAACAAAAGAUAAAGAAUUCAUUGGAAAAACAUAUGUGCGCGGCAUUGAUAUUUAUAGGUAAAUUUAGGGUAGUUUGAUUAGCAUUAGGAUUGUAUCAUAAUCAAUUAUUUAUUAUCCUAGAUUAUAUGGAUAAUGACUAAUUAAUUAGUUCAACUGUAUUAAAUAUCAAUACAUAUAAUACUCUCAUGACGUGUUCAAAC